ensembl:snRNA U6 U6 spliceosomal RNA
GUGCUCAUAUACUAAACAUCAGUAGCACAUAUACUAAAAUUGGAAUGCUACAGAGAUUAGCAUGCCCUGUGCAUAAGGAUAACAUGCAAAUUCAUAAAGUAUUCCAUAUUUUU